AUUAUACUCCCUCCGUCCGAAAAUACUUGUCAUCAAAAUGGACAAAAAGGGAUGUAUCUAAAACUAAAAUACAUCUAGAUACAUCCCUUUUAUCCAUUUCGAUGACAAGUAUUUCCGGACGGAGGGAGUAUAUA
rnacentral:pre_miRNA from 1 species